AGGGUACUAGUAGAAUUCAAAUGAUAGCUCUGGAUUAUCUCAAUUAUGAAGAAGUAGAAUGGGAUGGAAUGGCCUUCAAGGAGAUGAAUAACCUCAAAACACUUAUCAUUAGAGGUGGUUGCUUUACCACAGGUCCCAAACAUCUUCCAAAUAGUUUAAGAGUAUUAGAAUGGCGGCGAUAUCCUUCACCAUCUCUACCAUUUGAUUUUAAUCCGAAGAAACUUGUCUCACUACAGUUACCUGAUAGUUGCUUAACGUCUCUCAAUUGGCUCAACUCAAAGAAUGUGAGCAUACAAGUUCUCUUCUUUAAUUCUAUAUCAAUAAAUUUUCCUAAGCAUUAUUUGUUUGAUUCCUCUUAUAUUUCUUUUUUGUAUUUUUUUGGCAGAGGUUCUUGAAUAUGAGAGUUUUGAAUUUUAAUCAGUGUCAUUAUAUAACAGAGAUACCUGACGUAUGUGGUGCCCCAAAUUUACAAGAAUUAUCAUUUGAAUAUUGUGAGAAUUUAAUUAAAAUUCAUGUAUCGGUUGGAUUCCUGGAUAAACUUAAAAUCUUGGAUGCUGAUGGCUGCAGCAAGCUUACAAGUUUUCCACCAAUGAAAUUGACCUCUCUUGAAGAACUUAAACUUUCAUUUUGUGCUAAUCUUGAGUGUUUUCCAGAAAUAUUAGGGAAGAUGGAAAAUGUCACUUCCCUUGAUAUUAAAGACACUCCCAUAAAAGAACUGCCAUCUUCAAUUCAACAUCUCAGUCGACUUCAAAGAAUUAAACUGAAGAAUGGUGGAGUUAUUCAGUUACCAAGUACCUUUUUUGCAAUGAAAGAACUUCGUUAUUUGCUUGUUAACCAAUGUGAGGGGUUGCUACUACCUGUAGAGAACGAAGGGAAAGAACAGAUGAGCUCAAUGGUGGUUGAAAAUACCAUUGGUUAUCUUGAUCUUUCACAUUGCCACAUAUCAGACAAAUUCCUUCAAAGUGGUCUCCCUUUGUUUUCCAAUGUGAAAGAACUAUACCUAAAUGGGAAUGAUUUCACAAUUCUUCCUGCCUGCAUUCAAGAAUUUCAGUUUCUGACAGAACUUUAUUUGGAAGCUUGUGAGAAUCUUCAUGAAAUUGGAUGGAUUCCACCGAAUUUAGAAAUAUUCGCUGUAAUAGAUUGCACAUCCUUGAAAGAAUUAGACCUCACACUUCUUCCCACAUGGAACAAAGAAUGUUGCCUUUUAAGGAAGCUUCUUUUAUGUGGAUGCCGGAAUCUUGAAAAACUUAAAGGGAUUCCACUGAACAUAGAAGAAUUGAUUGUAGAAUCCUGCAAUUCCUUGAAAGAUCUAGAUCUUACUCUUCCUCCUUCAUGCACCCGACAAUGUCGUAUUUUGAGUAAACUUAUAUUGGAUAGUUGUAUGGAUUUUGAAGAAAUAAAAGGGAUUCCAUCCGACAUUGGAGUAUUUUCUGCAAGAGAAUGCUCAUCCUUGACUUCUGAGUGUAGAAGCAUGUUACUUAACGAGGUUGGUAUUUUCCUAUAUAUUUGAUUUGAUAAUUAGUAUAUUUCAACUUGACUCAUACUUUAUGCUGCUAAAUAUGUAUGAAUGAAUUAUGACCUAUAGGAAUUACAUGAAGCCGAUGGGUUCAAAGAGUUUAUUUUGCCAGGAACUAGAAUUCCCGAGUGGUUCGAGUGUACCAAUGAAUCAUCAAUUUGUUUCUGGUUUCGUGACAAGUUCCCUGCGAUAUCUGUCUGUGUAGUUUCUGAACCAAUGGAUUCAGAUGUAACGUUCAGCUUUAUCAUCAAUGGUGUGGAACAUUUACCAAAGGGUGCUAUCUCUUUGGACCUAUGCGUUGAUCAUCUGUGGAUUAUUGAUCACAUAGAGGAACUAUUCAAUGACUGUGUUCUUUCGGAAAAUGAAUGGAAUCAUGUGGUGUGUACUACAUCAUGGGUACCCCAACCAAUCAAACAAAUUGGAAUCCAUGUAAUCAAACAAGGAAGCAACUUGGAGGAUAUCCAAUUUACCAAUCCACUAUUGUCCAAAGAAGACCCAGAUUUUCGCAUACAACAUGAUGAUUCAAGGAAACGAAAAAGACAAGAGUGACUGUCUUCUCCCGGAGAUGAAGUAUCUUCCCGUUGAUUGAUAAUAAAAUUUUGUGGUUUUAGGACACCUUGUUUUGAUUAUAUAUUGUGCAAUGUUAUGUAUUCCCAAUAUAAUUACAGGAGGUGCUAUGGAAGAUUAACAUGUAAUUUUUUGAUUGAAACCACGUAACAUAUCUACAUUUUAUUCAUUGAGACUAAUAUAAUGUACUUGUUCGAAUGAAUUUGAAAAUCGAUAUAUUUAUGCAUUUAUAAUAUUACAGUUUUAAAAUUAUCUCAUUAAAAUUAAUUUUUAAAAAUAUAAAUAUAUUAGGAUUUUUUUAAUUAGAAGUACGUUAGACUUAAUUCUUAAAGUUUAUUUCAAGUAUAAUAAACUAGCAUGCCCGCAAACAGGUUAUAACUAGUUUAUUAUAAAAAUAAGGUUAAAUGUAUUAGAAACAGUGAUGUUUAAAACCAAAAAGAAUCAUAAAUAUAGAGGGCGUGUUCCUAGCAUUUCGAGGAUAAAGAAUCAUGUGACAACGUUGAAAAAAGAAACCUGGUUGAUUUAUUGAAAGAAAGAAACAUCGAGGAAGGCGAAGAAGUGAGUUCGGUGUGUUAUUUAUUUAUUUUACGCAGUUUGGGCUUGGCUUACAUGAACAAAUGUCAUAUUUAAUGUAUCAUUGUCGGGUGGACUUGACUUCAGUGAGGAAUCAACUUUUCUAACGCGUUUAGUCCAUUACUGAUGUUUUUCCCACUUCUUUAUCAACCAUCUACUCUUGUUCUCUUUCCCAACUACUCUCAGACAUCAGUUUGGUACUUUACUCAUUGUUGUUCAUUUAUCACUGAGCUUCCUUCCUUGUUCUCUCGCUAACCACUCUCUCAUCAAUCAAAGGUUCGUUUAUCUUUUUCAUUAACAAUUAUAUUGAUCAUAGUUUCAAUAAUAGUUCUCUUUUGGUUUUAAGGUACUCAUUGUGGGAAUACAAUGUCCUCCACUUCCUUUAGCAAUGGAUGGAAAUAUGAUGUUUUCCUCAACUUCAGAGGCUCUGAUACUCGCUAUGGUUUUACUGGUCAUCUCUACAAAGCUCUGUGUGAUAGAAAAGUCCGCACCUUCAUUGAUGAUGAGGAGCUUCAAAGAGGAGAACAGAUCACACCAUCACUCUUGAAGGCAAUUGAAGAGUCCAGGAUUUUCAUCCCAGUGUUCUCCAAGAACUAUGCCUCUUCCACUUUUUGCUUAGAUGAACUUGUCCACAUCUUUGCCUGUGUUAAGGAAAAGAGUAGAUUAGUUUUGCCGGUUUUUUAUGAGGUUGAUCCUUCUCAUGUACGACAUCAAAGAGGUAGCUACAAAGAAGCACUGAAUAGCCAUAAGAAGAGGUUCAAUGAUGACCAAGAGAAAUUGCAGAAAUGGAGGAAUGCUCUGAGUCAAGCAGCUAACUUGUCGGGCUAUCAUUUCAAACAGGGGUAAUCUUUUAUUUGUUUUUCUCUUCUUCAUUUUUUAGUUUUAACUUGUGUUGAAGAUAUACUUUUGUAACUGCAUAAUAUUUUAUUUUUCAGUUUUUAAAAUAGGAUUUAGUAAAUAAGUUGAUUUCCUAUAUUUUAGGAGUAGGACAGUUUUAAUGGAUUAGCCUAGUCAAUAAGUGGUUCCUCUUAUCUUUAAGGAGCAAGUUAGUUUUAAUAUUCUGUUUUGCUAAUAUCUUGUUAUCUAAUUAGUUUAUCUUUUACUAUUUAUUGUAUCGCUGCUGAGAACAAUUUGAAUUAGAAUAGAAUAAUUCUAUUUCCUCUGCAUACGUUUUGUCUCUCUUCUCUCCUCUGUUUUUAUAAUUUCCUCCACAAAACCAACAAUUGGUAUCGAGAGCCUUAUUCUUACGGGACUUCUACCAUGGAAGGUGAAGCAAGUUUUUUCCACAUAACUCUUCCAAUCUUUGAUGGAGAGAAUUAUGAUCUUUGGGAAGUGAAAAUGCAAUCCUACAUGGAGUCUUUGGAUUUAUGGGAUGCUGUGGAAGAGGAUUAUGAAAUAUAUCCGCUGCCUGAAAAUCCCACCAUGGCCCAAAUUAAAAAUCACAAGGAAAGAAAGAUGAAAAAGGCAAAGGCGAGGUCAUGUUUGUUCACUGGUGUUUCACAAAUGAUAUUCAUCAGAAUCAUGACUCUUAAAUCACCCAAAGCAAUUUGGGAUUAUCUGAAAGAGGAAUACGCUGGAGAUGAUAGAAUACGAAACAUGCAAGUGCUUAAUUUAAGGAGGGAAUUUGAACUUCAAAUGAUGCAAGAGUCAGAGACAAUCAAAGAAUACUCAAACAAAUUGUUGGGUAUUGCCAACAAGAUAAAGUUGUUGUGAAGUGAUUUUGCUGAUUCGAGAAUUGUAGAGAAAAUUUUGGUAACGGUGCCGGAGAGGUAUGAAGCAUCUAUAGCUUCAUUGGAGAACACAAAGGAUCUGUCGAAAAUCACAUUGGCAGAAGUGCUACACGCCCUGCAAGCUUAAGAGCAGCGAAGGUUGAUGAGGCAAGAUCGUGUUGUCGAAGGUGCUUUGCCCGCCAAACAUCAUGAAGUUGAUGAAAGCAAAAAAGAUUUUUUCAAGAAGAAUCAACCAGCAAGCAGCGAAAACAGUGCAAACAACCAAGGUAAGGGUAAAAAGAAAAAUUAUCCACCUUGUCAGCAUUGUGGCAAAAAAGGUCAUGCACCUUUCAAAUGUUGGAGGAUACCAGAUGCAAAAUGUAACAAGUGCAACCAGAUAGGGCAUGAAGCGGUGAUCUGCGCCAACAAAAAUCACCAUGAUGAGGGAGCUCAGAUUGCUAAUCAAGAAGAAGAGGACCAACUGUUUGUGGCCACAUGCUUCUUGAGUAGUGAAUCAAGGGAAAGUUGGUUGAUUGAUAGUGGUUGUACGAACCACAUGACAUAUGAUAAGACCUUAUUCAAAGAUUUGAAGCCAACUAAUGUCUCAAAGGUCAGAAUUGGGAAUGGUGGCUAUAUUCCAGUAAAAGGAAAAGGAACUGUUGCAAUUUCAACGUGUUCAGGUAUCAAAUUAAUAUCAGAUGUUUUUUAUGUACCUAACAUUGACCAAAACUUGUUAAGCGUAGGUCAGUUGAUUAAAAAGGGAUUUAAAGUGUCCUUUGAACAUCAACAUUGCUUUAUCUAUGACAAUUUUGGCUGGGAAGUUCUAAGGGUUAAAAUGAAAGGUAAAAGCUUUUCAUUUGAUCCAGCAGAGGAGGAGCAUACAGCCUAUUUCACUCAAGUCACACCCACGGAACUCUGGCACAAGAGACUUGAUCAUUGCCGUCUUGAAAGAAUGCUAAACAUGGAAAAAAGGAAAUAUGCAAAAGAAAAUUUGAAGAAGUUUCAAAUGGAGGAAUGCAAAUCUGUUAGCACUCCAAUGAAUCAAAAGGAGAAGUUUAGCAAGGAAGAAGGUGUUGAUAACAUUGAUGAAGGAUAUUGUGGGAGCUUGAUUGGAUGUCUAAUGUAUCUCACUUCAACAAGGUCAAACAUUCUAUUUUCUAAAAAGAACAAAAUUGGAAUUUUUGUUGACAAUCAAGUAGCCAUUAUUGUUGCAAACAAUCCCGUGUGUCAUGGGAAGAUUAAACAUUCCAACAUCAAGGUUUAUUAUUUGAUAAAGAUGCAACAAAGUGGUGAAGUGAACUUAAUUUAUUGUAAGUCUAAAGAUCAAUUGGCUGACAUGUUUACAAAGUCACUACCUAUCAACAAACUUGAACUCAAAGAAUUGGAGUUUGCAGUACCAAAAGCAAGGAGGAGUGUUGAAGAUAUACUUUUGUAACUGCAUAAUAUUUUAUUUUUCAGUUUUUAAAAUAGGAUUUAGUAAAUAAGUUGAUUUCCUAUAUUUUAGGAGUAGGGCAGUUUUAAUGGAUUAGCCUAGUCAAUAAGUGGUUCCUCUUAUCUUUAAGGAGCAAGUUAGUUUUAAUAUUCUGUUUUGCUAAUAUCUUGUUAUCUAAUUAGUUUAUCUUUUACUAUUUGUUGUAUCGCUGCUGAGAACAAUUUGAAUUAGAAUAGAAUAAUUCUAUUUCCUCUGCAUACGUAUUGUCUUUCUUCUCUUCUCUGUUUUUUAUAAUUUCCUUCACAAAACCAAUAACUUGUUACUUGUCUAUUGAUUUAAUUUUUUUGUUGAAAUUCAUGGAAAUGUGUUGCAUUUAGUAUGACUUUAGUAUGACUUCUUCAAUUGUACAGGAAGGAAGAAUAUGAAUAUGACUUUAUUGCUAAGAUCGUUAAAGAGGUUUCUCAAAAAAUUAAUCGCACUCUUUUGCAUGUUGCGGAUUUCCCCGUUGGACUGGAGUAUCGUAUGCAAGACGUAAACUCACUUGUGAAUAUUGAAUCUGGUGGAGUCCACAUGAUAGGAAUCCAUGGAGUCGGCGGAGUAGGCAAAUCAACACUUGCUCGAGCAAUUUAUAAUUUGAUUGCCGAUCAAUUUGAAGGGUAUUGUUUUCUUAAUGUGAGAGAAUACUCAAUGCAAAAUGGAUUGGUGCAUCUCCAAAAGAAACUUCUUUCUAAAACAAUUGGAGAGAAGUGUUAGAAUUAAUGUCUCAUGUGAGAAGCAUAUGACUUAGUAGGGACUAAUAAAUAAAUAAUUAACAAUUAAUGGCUAAAUUGUAAUUGGGCUUAAUAGGAGAAGUUUCUAGGUUAACUGCUACUUGAUGGGAGUAGUGGUUAUAAAAGGGGCUUAAUACCCACUAAUGUGAAAUAAGGUCCCCUUCCUGACCAGAAAGUGCUCUUUUCUCACCCAUAGCCAUCAGGAACGGAGAGAGACAGAAAAGAAAGGUUAAAGGAAGCGAAAUCCUAUUUCUCUCAUUUUCAAGGAAAUCAAAGUGCACCAGAGAGAAGUUCCUAUGGAGAAAGGUACACAUCAUUAUCUAUUAUUCUUUAUUGAUUAUUUGUGAGAACCAUAAAUUUCAAGAUCCUGUUGGUUUUCUAUAAUUGAUAGUCUAGGAAACCCUUAAGAAUUUUUACAUGUGGUAUCAGAGCAUGUGUUAUGAAAUUUAUGAUUCUCCAAGAAUGAUUUAAUUUCUCUCAAUUAUACAUGAACCCUAAUUAUGAAAUUUAGGGAUAAUUUAAUUUCUUUCAAUUAUGUAUGAACCCUAAUUAUGAAAUUUAGGGAUAAUUUAAUUUCUCUCAAUUAUGCAUAAAUCCUAAUUAUGAAAUUUAGGAAUUUUAUUUUCCGUUGCAUGUAUUGUUUUAUUGGUAAUAUUUUAUUACUGUUAAAUUCUGUUUUUGGGAAAGAAAGCCAAAAGUGACGCUUUAGUCACGAACUGCAAAUUCGUGCCUUUUAUUUAAGAUAAUGAUGACAAUCAUAUAUUAUAAUAAUAAUAAAAUUGGGCAAUUACGUACCACUUUAUAGAAAGUUUUAAUUCCAAUUACGUUUUGGGAAAAUGCAAAUAUUAUCCUUUUUCAAAAGCUGCACGUAGAUACGUGCUAAUUUCAGUUGUGAAAAGUGUUGCUGCCAUGUACGUGCUAAUUUCAGUUUUGUGAAAAGUGCUGCUGCCAUGUAUGUUGGGUGUAGGGAAGGAUUCCUUUUCGAAUUUCUAUUUGCAAACCCCUUGCUGCUAUUUACAAUCCCACUUGCCUAUUUUUUUUUCUCGAAAAAUGAUCAUUAAACAUGAUUAAAGGAUUGAAAGUUUAUGUUCUAUAAUUAAAUUAAUGUGAGUGUUUUGCAAUUAUUGGUAGCAGUAAAAUAUAUGUAUAUACUACAUAUUUGCUUGAACGUGUUAGAAUGUAAAACACAAAUAAAUGCAAAUAUUAUUUUAUGGCCUAGAAUGGAAUUAAUGGAAUGGCUAUGAAUUGUUGAUAGCAAUAAGUAUGUGCAAGUCAUAUAUAUUUGGUUGGAAUUAAAUGUAUGUUAAAUUUGUUAGUCACCAAAGUGACCAAAUUUGUAAGGUUAUUUAAUUCCAAAUUAAUAAUUAUUUCAAUUACUCAUAGAAUAAUGGAUGCUAAAUUAUAUGAUUGUUGGCUUAUGGAUAAUUGAAAUUCAUUGUUAUAAGGCAUUUAUGGAUCGCCCAAAGGUUGAUUAGUUGUUAUUAUAAUUAAUGAAUAUUAUUGUAGGCGAUUUGUGUGUAUCAUUAGUUUUAUUUAUAUACCCAAAGGAAAUAGAUACUACUAAUUGGUGCAUAUUUAAUUGUCAAAUAAUGUUAAAAUUUUAUCAGCAUCAUCAUGUUUGUAUGUUGUGUGUUGAUGUGUCACCCAAAGGAGAACAUCAAUAUACAUUGAUUUUUAUCUGAGUAAAUUAUAUGUAUGACUUGUGUUUCAUGUACCAAAAUGCUUAUGUGAAGUUUUAUUAUGCAGUACCUGUUCCCAACUCACUGAAUUCUCAUGUAUCAUCUGUACCAAUUUUUAAUGGGCUUAACUUCUCUGAUUGGAAUGAGCAAGUUCAAUUUCAUCUCGGUGUUUUGGAUCUUGACCUUGCUAUAUUGGAAGAGAAGCCUGCUACUAUUACUGAUGCUAGUAGCAAUGAACAGAAAGCUCAUUAUAAAGCUUGGGAAAGAUCUAACAGACUCAACCUAAUGUUCAUGAGAAUGACUGUUGCAGACAGUAUUAAGACAACUCUUCCUAAAACCGAUAGUGCUAAAGAGUUUAUGGGGUUAGUGGGAGAGCGCUCUCAAACAGCUGAUAAGUCUCUUGCUGGGACAUUAAUGAGUACACUAACCACCAUGAAGUUUGAUGGUUCACGUACUAUGCAUGAACAUGUCAUUGAGAUGACAAACAUUGCAGCAAGACUUAAAACCUUGGGAAUGGCUGUGAAUGAGAACUUCCUUGUUCAGUUUAUUCUAAACUCAUUACCGUCUGAGUAUGACCCGUUUCAAAUGAGCUAUAAUACCAUGAAAGAUAAAUGGAAUGUGCAUGAAUUGCACAGUAUGUUAGUUCAGGAAGAAACGAGGCUUAAGAAUCAAGGAAGUCACUCAAUCCAUUAUGUAAGCCACCGAGGGAAUCAAGGAGCUGGAAAAAAAUUUGUAAAGAAACAUGAUAAAGGCAAAGGACCAUUAAAGAUCAAGGACGGUCCUGUGGAAAUCCAGAAGAAAGCAUCAAAGAACAAUAAUUGUCAUUUUUGUGGAAAAUCUGGACAUUUCCAGAAAGAUUGCCCAAAGCGUAAGUCUUGGUUCGAAAAGAAAGGUGAGCUCAAUGCUCUUGUAUGUUUUAAAUCAAACUUAACUGAAGUUCCCCAUAAUACAUGGUGGAUUGAUUCUGGAUGUACAACUCAUGUUUCUAAUACUAUGCAGGGAUUCCUUACAAUCCAGACCAUAAGCCCAAAUGAGAAGUUUGUUUUCAUGGGGAAUAGAGUGAAAGCUCCAGUGGAAGCGGUCGGGACUUAUCGUUUAAAACUCGACACUGGACAUCAUUUAGAUUUACUGGAAACUCUUUAUGUACCUAGUUUAUCUAGGAAUUUGGUUUCAUUAUCUAAACUUGAUAUUACUGGAUACUCUUUUAAUUUUGGUAAUGGAUGUUUCAGUUUAUUUAAGUAUAAUCAUCUCAUUGGUACUGGUGUUCUUUGUGAUGAUUUAUAUAAAUUGGAAACAUACAGUUUGUAUGUUGAAACUGUUUCAUCUUUGCAUCAUAAUGUUGACACUAAACGUAGUUUAAUGAAUGAACGAUCUGCUUUCUUGUGGCAUAAACGUUUAGGUCACAUUUCUAGAGAAAGGAUGGAAAGAUUAAUAAAUAAUGAAAUUCUUCCUUAUCUAGAUUUUACGGAUCUAAAUAUUUGUGUGGGUUGUAUUAAGAAAAAAACAAGCAAAACAUACAACGAAAAGAGCUACAAGAAGCACUCAGCUUCUUGAAAUUGUGCAUACUAAUGUUUGUGGACCUUUUGAUGUUAGUUCUUUCAGAAAGGAAGGAUAUUUUAUCACCAUUAUUGAUAAUGAUUCACGUUACGGUUAUGUCUACUUACUGCCCGAGAUUUCUUAGGCAAUGGAUGCCUUAGAAAUUUACUACUAUGAAGUGAAAAGGCAAUUAGACAUAAAUGUGAAAAUUAUUAUAUAUGAUAGAGGUGGUGAGUAUUAUGAAAGAUAAGAUGAAACUGGGUAACACCCAGGUCCAUUUGCUAAGCUUCUUCAGAAACGUGGCAUUUGUGCACAAUACACAAUGUCCGGUACACCAUAACCAAAUGGUGUAUCAGAAAGGCACAAUAGAACUUUAAUGGAUAUGAUUAGGAGUUUGCUAAUCAAUUUGAUUUUACCCGUAUCUUUGUGGAUGUAUUCCUUGAAAACUGCCAUGUAUUUGUUGAAUAGGGUUCCUAGUAAGGCAGUUCCAAAGACAUUUUUUGAACUGUGGACAAAUAGGAUACCUAGUAUAAGGCACCUGCAUGUUUUGGGUUGCCAGAAAAAAAUAAGGAUUUAUAAUCCGCAAGAAAGAAAAUUGGAUGCAAGAACAAUCAGUGGAUAUUUCAUUGGUUAUCCAAAAAGGUUAAAAGGGUAUAUGUUUUAUUGUUCUAAUCAUAGUAUGAGAAUUGUCAAAACUGGAAAUACAAGGUUCAUUGGAAAUGAUGAAAUCAGUGGGAGUACAGUUCCACGAGAAAUGGAAAUUAAAGAAGUUAGAGUGUAAGUCCUUUUAGCUUAUGCCUCUAACAGUAAGGUGAUUACUACUUCAGUUACUGCUACAAACAGUAAUGAAGAAGUACAACACAAUAAUGAGCCCAUGAUACAUAAUGAACCCAUUGUGGAAGAACCACAAGAAGUAGCAUUAAGGAAGUCUCAAAGAGAAAGAAGACCAGCUAUUUCGAAUGACUAUGUGGUAUACUUACAUGAAAUAGAAACAAACUUAAGCAUUAAUGAUAAUGAUCCAGUUUCAUUUUCACAAGCUGUAAGUUGUGAUAAUUCUGAGAAGUGGUUAAAUGCCAUGAAAGAAGAGAUAGAUUCCAUGGAACAUAAUGGUGUUUGGGACCUUGUAGAAUUACCAAAGGGUUGUAAGAGAGUUGGUUGUAAGUGGGUCUUCAAGACUAAACGUGACUCUCAUGGCAACCUUGAACGUUACAAGGCUAGACUUGUUGCUAAGGGAUUUACUCAGAAAGAUGGCAUUGAUUAUAAAGAGACGUUUUCACCAGUCUCACGGAAGGAUUCUUUCAGGAUUAUCAUGGCAUUAGUAACCCAUUAUGACUUGGAGCUACAUCAGAUGGAUGUGAAAACUGCCUUUUUGAAUGGAGAUUUAGAGGAGGAUGUUUAUAUGGACCAACCAAUGGGAUUCUCAGUUGAAGGGAAGGAACACAUGGUGUGCAAAUUAAAGAAAUCAAUAUACGGUCUUAAGCAAGCUUCCCGCCAAUGGUAUUUGAAAUUUAAUGAUACCAUUGUUUCCUUUGGAUUUAAGGAAAACACUGUUGAUCGGUGUGUAUAUCUGAAGGUCAGUGGGAGUAAGGUUAUGUUUCUAGUCCUGUAUGUUGAUGAUAUAUUGAUUGCAACUAAUGAUCUUGGUCUUCUUCAUGAGACUAAGAAGUUUCUUUCUAGUAACUUUGAAAUGAAGGAUAUGGGUGAGGCAAACUAUGUGAUAGGGAUAGAAAUAUUUCGAAAUAGAUCACAAGGAUUGUUAGGCUUGUCUCAAAAAACAUAUAUCAAUAAAGUACUAGAGAGAUUUAGGAUGGAAAAGUGCUCAGCAUCUCCCGUUCCAAUUCAGAAACGAGACAAAUUUAGUCUCGCACAAUGUCCUAAAAAUGAUCUGGAACGGAAGCAAAUGGAAGAAAUUUCGUAUGCAUCAGUUGUUGGGAGUAUUAUGUAUGCUCAGACCUGCACUCGACCAGAUAUAAGCUUUGCAACCGGAAUGUUAGGAAGAUAUCAAAGUAAUCCAGGAAUGGAACAUUGGAAAGCUGCAAAGAAAGUUCUGAGAUACUUACAGGGAACAAAAGACCACAUGCUUACAUAUAAGAGGUCUGAUCACCUAGAGGUGAUUGGAUAUUCAGACUCAGACUUUGCUGGAUGUGUGGAUACAAGAAAAUCCACUCUUGGCUUUGUAUUUCUCUUAGCCGGAGGAGCAAUAUCAUGGAAGAGUGCAAAACAAUCAGUUGUUGCUGCAUCCACCAUGGAAGCUGAAUUUGUAGCAUGUUUUGAGGCUACAAUUCAGGCUAAUUGGCUGCGGAACUUUAUUUCAGGGCUUGGAAUUGUCGACAGUAUUGCUAGGCCGCUGAAAAUGUAUUGUGAUAACUCCGCAGCAGUAUUCUUUUCUAAGAACGACAAGUACUCUACGGUUGCUAAGCAUAUGGAAUUGAAGUACUUUGUCGUGAAAGAAGAAGUUCAGAAACAAAGAGUGUCAAUAGAACAUAUUAGCACAAAGCUUAUGAUAGCUGACCCUUUGACAAAGGGAUUACCGCCCAAGACAUUUAUAGAACAUGUUGAAAGUAUGUGCAUUAUUGUUAUUGAUGAUCAUUAAGUGUAAUUUACCUUAUGUAAUUUUGCUGACACUCUGAGCUCAAUUAUGAUAUGUUUCUGAUUACCUGUUCUCUAUGUUUGCAUGCAUGUUUGUGAUAAAGUAAUGUUAACAGGUUUUGUCUUGAAUGAAGAAAUUAUGUUGGACCAAUUAUGUACUCCUAACUAAUGGUCAUAUUAAGGAGAAGACUAAUUUGUAGUACAUGGAAGGGACUAUGUCGAUUAGAUGAUGUACAACCGCCAUGACUCGAAUUGGUUCCUAUUCUUAAUCAUGAAAUUAUGAUGUACCCAAUGUGUAAAACAAUUUAGUCAAUUUUUAAUGCGCAUUAUGUUAGUUAAUCUAUUUAUUUAUUUAGUCCAUAAUGUUUAUUGAUGUCACAUGAGCCAAGUGGGAGAAUGUUUGAAUUAAUGUCUUAUGUGAGAAGCAUAUGACUUAGUAGGGACUAAUAAAUAAAUAAUUAACAAUUAAGGGCUAAAUUAUAAUUGGGCUUAAUAGGAGAAGUUUCUAGGUUAACUACUACUUGAUGGGAGUAGUGGUUAUAAAAGGGGCUUAAUAUCCACUAAUGUGAAAUAAGGUCCCCUUCCUGACCAGAAAGUGCUCUUUUCUCACCCAUAGCCAUCAGGAACGGAGAGAGACAGAAAAGAAAGGCCAAAGGAAGCGAAAUCCUAUUUCUCUCAUUUUCAAGGAAAUCAAAGUGCACAAGAGAGAAGUUCCUAUGGAGAAAGGUACACAUCAUUAUCUAUUAUUCUUUAUUGAUUAUUUGUGAGAACCAUAAAUUUCAAGAUCCUGUUGGUUUUCUAUAAUUGAUAGUCUAGGAAACCCUUAAGAAUUUUUACAAGAAGGGUAUUAAGUUAGGAGGUGUCAAUGAAGGAAUUCCAAUAAUAAAGCAUAGGCUCCACUUAAUGAAGAUUCUUUUGUUUCUUGAUGAUGUCGAUGAUCUAGAUCAGUUGCGGGCAAUUGCUGGAGGGACAGACUGGUUUGGUUCUGGUAGCAGGAUCAUCAUUACCACCCGAGACAGGCAUUUACUAACUUGCCAUGGGGUUAAAAAUAAAUAUGAGGUACAUGGGUUAAAUAAAGAAGAAGCUCUUAAAUUGCUUACCUGGAGUGCUUUUAAAAUUGAUAAAGUGGAUCCAUGUUACGUCAACAUUUUAAACCGUGUAGUAACUUAUACUUCUGGCCUUCCAUUGGCUUUGGAAGUAAUAGGUUCCAACUUGUCUGGAAAAAGGAAAGAAGUAUGGGAAUCUGCCCUAGAUCAGUAUGAAAGAAUUCCAGAUAAAAAGAUUCAAGACAUACUUAAAGUAAGUUUUGAUUCUUUACAAGAAGAUGAGCAUAAAAUUUUUCUUGAUAUUGCUUGUUGCUUCAAAGGAUAUGAUUUUACAUAUGUUAAAGAAGUACUUUCUAUCCAUCAUGGUUUUUGCCCUAAAUAUGCUAUAGGAGUGUUGAUUGACAAAUCUCUCCUAUGUCGACGGUCCAGUUACUUGACAAUGCAUGACUUGAUAGAGGACAUGGGUAAAGAAAUUGUAAGACAGGAAUCUCCAGGAGAGCCAGGCAAACGCAGUAGGUUAUGGUUGCAUGAAGAUAUAGUUCAAGUCUUAGAAGAAAAUGAGGUAUGACUAAGAUAUAUAUAAUUGGUUUUGUUUUUCAAAUUUAACCUUUAUUUCUCAUGAUUAUGUGCUAGAUGCCUGGAUGAUUGUAUAAUCACUCCUAUGUCUCCAAUCUUUCAUUGGCAAUGAUAUUUUGCUAUUUUAUGCUUUCUUUAUAUGAUAUGUAAUCUUCUUCACAUAUGUUUGUAAAAUUCCAGACAUGUGUAUUGUGGUUGAAUUGUGCUUUACUGCUUUUGUCUUAAAAGGGAACUAGUAGAAUUCAAAUGAUAAUUCUGGAUUGCCUCAAAUAUGAAGUAGUACAAUGGGAUGGAAUGGCCUCCAAGGAGAUGAAUAACCUCAAAACACUCAUUGUUAAAGGUGGUUGCUUUUCCAAUGGUCCCAAACAUCUUCCAAAUAGUUUAAGAGUACUAGACUGGUGGGGAUAUCCUUCACGAUCUUUUCCAAGUGAUUUUCAACCGAAGAAACUUGUCAGAUUACAGUUACCUUAUAGUCACUUAAUGUGUCUCAAUUUGUUGUCUUCGAACAAGGUAA
rnacentral:lncRNA from 1 species